rnacentral:lncRNA from 1 species
UAGGCCAGGCACUACUCUGUCCCAACAAUAAGCCCUGUACAUUGGGAAAGGUGCCGAGACAUGAACUUUGGUCUUCUCUGCAAUCCAUCUGGAGCAUUCAGUGACAACAUCGACUUUGAAGUUGCACUGACCUGGCCAGCCCUGCCACUUACCAGGUUGGGCUGUGGCUUGCCUUUUCACUUCUUGUGUCCUGUUUAAGAAAUAUCUACUAUCCCAAGAUUGAGCCUCAUAUUUCAUAUCUGCCCCUGGCCUAAUGGUUGUUUACAGAAAGAGCUCAAUGAAUAUUGUUAAAUAACACUAACAAAGUUGACCUUAGAAUUGGAGUGCCUGGGUUAGAACCCUGCUGGUACCACCUGCUUACUGCAUGCUUCUGAUGUGAGUUCAGGAGAAGACACUGGCAAGGACAGCAAAGAACAGGAGAACACUCUAGCUUCCCUGAUAGCAUUCAAGGUGCUGUCCAAAGCUCUUGAGUUUCUGCUUUCAAGUGACCCUCAGAAAUUCCCCCAUUCACUGCAGAGGUUCUGUUUCUCCUUGCUUUGUUCUGACUUUACGGCAGAACUAAGCUGAUGAGUUAGUUACUAUGGGUUAUCACUUGGAUUUGAAGAACCAUCAUUUCUAGGCAUUGCUGCUCAGAGUGGGUCUGCCCUCAGGGGAAGCUGUCUAACCAGAGCCUAACCCACUAGGGUUUUAUCAGAACCUAACUGACCUGAGGAAAAGAAAUAUUCAACUCCAGCAAGCUCCAGCCUUCCAAAUGGAGGAGAAGAAAACCCAACUCCAGCCCACUUCAGCUAUCUUGUCCCACAUAAAGGGGAAGUGGAAGAAACCUGAGAAGCAGGCAUGAAGUUCACAGUCCAGAGGUACAGACACAUCAGAGUUCAGUAUCUGAUGAAUUAGAUGCAAAAACCUCAACAAAGUAUUAGCAAAUUGAAUUCAACAAUGUAUGAAAAUUAUUACAUGCCAUGACUAAUUGGAAUUUAUCUCAGGUAUACAAGCCAUGCUGAACAUCUGAAAAUCAAUUCAUGUGAUCCAUCACAUUAGCAGACUCAA